rnacentral:tRNA from 1 species
UUAAUUGAAGCCAAAUUAGAGGCAUAUUACUGUUAAUAAUAAAAUUGGAUAAACUCCCAAUUAAA